CUACACCGCGGUAGAGCUAGUCGUUGCCGAGAGCGCGGAGGAGAGAGAGUGUGAGUGCACCGCCGAUCAAAGACACCCGCUCGCCUUCAGUUCGGGAGGCCUCGAAUAGUCCGCGCGCGGCGCGGCGUCUGGAGCCUGGUGCUUCCCUCGCGAGCGGGCUCGGGAAUCUGCGCGUCGACCUCGCCUUCGUCUGGUUGGUGGUAAGUGCAGAGUCUUCCUCUUUAGCGACUUGUGGCGUGAAAGGUUUUGGCUAGGCGUGAGCUGGGUGCUGCUUGGGUCGUUUUCCGUCACGGCGGCGAGCUCGCCGUUGGCUGGCAGGGCCGGCCACCUGCGCGUUGCGGUGGCGCCACUGUAAAAGUGUAGCGCGCCGUGGACUGAGCCCUGUGCUCGACGACAGUAGAAAUUGGUAGGGAGGGUGAGUUCGUAACAUCGUUGAUUGGGCGAGGAACGAAGGAAUUUGGAGAUAGAGGUCAGGUUAGCCGGAAUCGCCGCGCGCUGGUGGAGAGCCCCCGCGGGCCUCUGCUCCACCUCCCCUGGUCGUCGGAGGUGGAAGAGUGUACGCGCGCCGUCGGAUUGCCAGCGAGCGGUGGAGAUUAGAACCACCCAUACCCUUUCGUUCUAGUGAAUUGUAGCCGCAGAUCUCGAAACCGAGGGUUGGGUGUUGUGGGGUGUGCUGGCCGUUGAUCUAAGAUCCGAGGAUCACGGUUACAAACCCCUUUCAUUUAAAACGCGAUCUAAUCUCGGCCUUCAGAUUUGAAUCCAACGGCCCGUAGUGCAGCGUACCCCUUCGUGGUAGCAUUUUUACUAAAGAGCCCCUCUAAGAUCCUUAAAACAACUCGCCGUCCCGGGGCACUGUUCUCUGUGCCUCGGGGUUUUUACAUUGGCGCCCCUGUGUUUUAUAGAAAAUGGCGCCCAAUCCAGAGAGAGCUGAAAAUAGGAAAUUAAUAUUAGAAAUCGAUUUUUAAUACAAAAAUAAAUCUAGAAACUUGUUUAAUUCAUAGAAAAUGCAUAUGAACUCCAAAUUGACCCAUUGCAGUUCCUAAAUUCUUAUAAUAUUAUUGUCUAACCAUUAGUGCCUCUGUUUUGGCAUAAAAGUCAAUUUAAAAUUUAUCUAUCACAUAAUCUUAUAUUAAGCACAUAAAACAUUAGAAAAUUCAUAACUUAAAAUCUAUAACUCCAAAAUUAAUAAUUCCUGUUCCUGUGAUCUUAUUUUAAUAUGUAUAUUAUUAAUAUGUAUGUUGCAUAUAUGUUUGGUGUAAUGUUAAUUUUGCCUAUAUACUGUUUGUAUGUAUUGCUACGUUUAGCAAUGAGGACACGUGUCACCUGAAGAGCAAGUUGGUACCUGGAAUAUCAAGUCCCAGGCAAGUUGUGCCCUUGAUCACUUCUUUUACCCAGUCAUGUUCUGAUUAAUCAUAAUGAUCUGCAUAGGUUAAUUUUGAUGGGACCCAAUAGGAUACCCUAGAUUUUGACUAUCUUUAUACCUUGUUUCACCACUGGUUUAACUACUAAAUUUUUGGGUAGUACAUGCUAUUGCUUUAUGUGGCUUUGGGUAUAAAGAUAUUCAUCACUCAUUGCUAUACUUAUUAUUAUCUGUUUAUUAUUAUUAUUAUUCAUGAUAAGAUCAUUAUGUUAAUGGGAACAUGGAGAACCACCCGGGAAAACAGUGCUACCACAAGGGUUUAUGGAUGCCCUUGGCUGAUUAAUUAGGAAAGCUAGUGGAGGACUACCUUACCCGAAAGGGGCAAGGGCAGUAGGGGAGUGGUCAGUGUAGGGAGGUCCUUGUUUGAUUUUGCUGCGAUGGCGGUCAGACAAGAACCCUGCACUGGAGCUUCCUAUAAACUGUAGCGGGUUUUCUGAAGCUAGUGGAACUUUGUAAAGGCCUCGUAGUGGUACCCUGCCUCGCUUCCUUGGUAGAGGUGUAUGGAGUCUGAUCAACUCUGUGGCAAAUGGGUAACACGACUUGUGGGUAAAGAUGCGCAACCUCUGCAGAGUGUAAAACUAGUAUACUAGCCGUGCUCACGGUCAUGAGCGGCUCGGACACUCACAUGAUUAAAUUAUGGAACUUAAACUCAAUUUGUCAUAUGCAUUGCAUCGCAGGUGAGUUUGUUACUUUUGUUCUACUACUUAAUUGGGUUGGUAUUUACUUAUACUUAGUAAUUGCUAAUAAAAUUUUGACCAACUUUAAAAGCAAUGCUCAGCUCUAACCAUCCUCUUUGGUAAGCCUUACACUUCACGUGAGCUCCCACCUUUGGCGAGUUCAUGCACAUUAUUCCCCACAACUUGUUGAGCGAUGAACGUAUGUGAGCUCACUCUUGCUGUCUCACACCCCCCCACAGGUCAAGAACAGGUACCGCAGGAUGAGGCGCUUGGAGGAUGCUGUGGCGUGUUUGUGAGAAAUCUAGGCCGUCGUCUCCCAGUCAACUUUGGGUUGCUGGAUCGUUUCCUCAUAUGAUGUAAUUAUUUAAUUAUUUUUGUACAGAACUCCUGUUAUAUAUAGUAAAGAUGUGACAUUCGAUCCUGU
rnacentral:lncRNA from 1 species